rnacentral:rRNA from 1 species
UACAGAGGUCUCAAGCGUUGUUCGGAUUCAUUGGGCGUAAAGGGUGUGUAGGUGGCGCGCUAAGUCGGGUGUGAAAUUUCGGAGCUUAACUCCGAAACUGCAUUCGAUACUGGCGUGCUUGAGGACUGGAGAGGAGACUGGAAUUCAUGGUGUAGCAGUGAAAUGCGUAGAUAUCAAGAGGAACACCAGUGGCGAAGGCGAGUCCCUGGACAACACCUGACACUGAGGCACGAAAGCUAGGGGAGCAAACAGG